rnacentral:rRNA from 1 species
CACGUAGGGGGCGAGCGUUGUCCGGAUUUAUUGGGCGUAAAGAGCUCGUAGGCGGCUUGGUAAGUCGGGUGUGAAACCUCCAGGCUCAACCUGGAGACGCCACCCGAUACUGCUAUGGCUAGAGUCCGGUAGGGGAGCGUGGAAUUCCUGGUGUAGCGGUGAAAUGCGCAGAUAUCAGGAGGAACACCAGCGGCGAAGGCGGCGCUCUGGGCCGGAACUGACGCUGAGAAGCGAAAGCAUGGGGAGCGAACAGG